rnacentral:rRNA from 1 species
UAGUCCACGCCCUAAACGAUGCUAACUAGAUGUUUGUAUUUAUAUGAGUAACGUAGCUAACGCGUGAAGUUGACCGCCUGGGGAGUACGGUCGCAAGAUUAAAACUCAAAUGAAUUGACGGGGGCCCGCACAAGCGGUGGAUUAUGUGGAUUAAUUCGAUGCAACGCGAAAAACCUUACCUGGCCUUGACAUGUACGGAACUUUCUAGAGAUAGAUUGGUGCCUUCGGGAACCGUAACACAGGUGCUGCAUGGCUGUCGUCAGCUCGUGUCGUGAGAUGUUGGGUUAAGUCCCGCAACGAGCGCAACCCUUGCCAUUAAUUGCCAUCAUUUAGUUGGGCACUUUAAUGGGACUGCCGGUGACAAACCGGAGGAAGGUGGGGAUGACGUCAAGUCCUCAUGGCCCUUAUGGCCAGGGCUUCACACGUAAUACAAUGGUCGGUACAGAGGGUUGCUAAGCCGCGAGGUGGAGCCAAUCCCAGAAAGCCGAUCGUAGUCCGGAUUGUUCUCUGCAA